rnacentral:rRNA from 1 species
ACACUGGGACUGAGACACGGCCCGGACUCCUACGGGAGGCAGCAGCUAAGAAUCUUCCGCAAUGGGCGAAAGCCUGACGGAGCGACGCCGUGUGAACGAGGAAGGCCGAAAGGUUGUAAAGUUCUUUUCUUAGGGAAGAAUAAUGCAAGGAGUGGAAAGCUUUGCAGAUGACAUUAACUGAGGAAUAAGCCCCGGCCAAUUACGUGCCAGCAGCCGCGGUAAUACGUAUGGGGCGAGCGUUGUUCGGAAUUAUUGGGCGUAAAGGGCGUGUAGGCGGUUUUAUAAGCCUGGUGUGAAAUACCACAGCUCAACUGUGGAGACGCGCUGGGAACUGUAAGACUAGAGUUCAGGAGGGGAAGCUGGAAUUCCUGGUGUAGGGGUGAAAUCUGUAGAUAUCAGGAAGAACACCGAUGGCGAAGGCAAGCUUCUAGCCAUGGACUGACGCUGAGGCGCGAAAGCGUGGGGAGCGAACAGGAUUAGAUACCCUGGUAGUCCACGCUGUAAACGAUGUGCACUGGGUGUAGGGGGCGUUGAGCUCUCUGUGCCGUAGCUAACGCGUUAAGUGCACCGCCUGGGGAGUAUGCUCGCAAGGGUGAAACUCAAAGGAAUUGACGGGGGCCCGCACAAGCGGUGGAGCAUGUGGUUUAAUUCGAUAUACGCGAGGAACCUUACCAGGGCUUGACAUGUACUUGAAGGCUUAAGAGAUUAAGUCGACCUUUAGGGGACAGGUACACAGGUGCUGCAUGGCUGUCGUCAGCUCGUGUCGUGAGAUGUUGGGUUAAGUCCCGCAACGAGCGCAACCCUUACUGUCUGUUACCAGCAGGCCUUCGGGCGCUGGGGACUCAGGCAGAACUGCCGGUGACAAACCGGAGGAAGGUGGGGAUGACGUCAAGUCAUCAUGGCCCUUAUGUCCUGGGCUACACACGUGCUACAAUGGCAGGUACAAAGCGUUGCGAGACGGUGACGUCCUUAGCAAAUCGCAAAAAGCCUGUCUCAGUUCGGAUUGGAGUCUGAAACUCGACUCCAUGAAGUUGGAAUCGCUAGUAAUCGCGCAUCAGAAUGGCGCGGUGAAUAUGUUCCCGGGCCUUGUACACACCGCCCGUCACACCACCCGAGUUGGGGGUACCCGAAGUCGCUAGUCUAACUGUAAAGAGGACGGUGCCGAAGGUAUGCCUGGUAAGGGGGGUGAAGUCGGAACAAGGUA